ensembl:lncRNA
AUGCCAAAGGUGGAACGCGGGAGUGUCACGUAUGCAGAAGCUGACCGACUCGUGCUCCCACUGGGUGCCUGGGCUUCCGCAGAGGUUAAGACUGGAGCUGGUCCUGAGACUGCCAGAUCUCCCACAGGGUUGGGUUUCCGGAAAACCCGCUUACAAGGGAGCUGUCUGUGGUCUGUCCUAGUCCUGGAGCAAGACCAGGCCAGCCUUGUCGCAGCCCUGGAAAAGUGUGAGUCCCAAGCAUCAGCGGCUGGGCUGCCGAGUUUUCGGGGGUGGGGGCCGAUGGAGUGGCCUAGCCUGCCAGGUGCUGUGCCCAUCACAUCCCUUCCAGGCAGGCAGGUGCUGUUCACCUCUUCUUACCGUUGUGCAGAUUACAAAUAGCAUGAACCCUCAGCAUCUUCCGGAGGGCCCCACAUGGUGGUGAAGCCAGGGUUUGAAGCUGGUCUGUCUGAUUCCAGAGCUCAUGCACUCACCAUCUGACUGUGGUGCCCCCUCAUCAUGCAGGGAUCACAGAUGGCCAUUUUUCUAGUCCGGAUGCACAGCACCAUGGCACCCCUGUAAGGAUCCCACGCUGCCUACCGGGUCUGAAUUGGUGGCACUCCUAAGGCCCCCACAGGCCGCACUGGGCUCCAGUCUCCUCAGAAGGGGUAGGACACAGGUCACUAGUUGUCAGCACGAGCCCAUGAGGCAUGUGUUGUAGCUUGUGGCAAACCAUACAGCUGCGGGUGAGAGCUCUUCUCCCAGAUCGAGGCCACGAGAGGCACUGCAAGUGGGUGCAGAAUCCGCUCUGCUUUCAAAGUCUUCUGUCCUAAGGCAGAAUCACUUGUGGUCACUUAACCCUGCUUUGCCUCAGGAAAGAGGAAAUUCCCUCCAAUCCUACUUUACCGAGAGAUCUUUUUGAAAGCUAUGUUAAACUUCAUCAAUUACUUCCCCCACAGCUUUGAGAUAUGCAGGUGGCUUUUCUCCUUUAGUCUCUUAAGAUGGUAAAUGGCAUUGAUUGAUUGUCCGUAUGAAACCAACCUUGGGUACCUGCUGCAGUUUCCGCUUGGUCAUUCUAGAGUACAUUUUUAAAUUUGGUUAGGAUGGAUUUCCUAAUAUGUUAAAGAUUGUCAUAUCUGUGUUUAUGAGUACAUUAAUCUGUACACUUACUUUUAUAUUUUGGUAUGAAGGUCGUGUUCACCUGAUAGAAUGGAUUCAGAGAAUCUGCCUCCUCUAUUUUCUGAGAGUUUGUACAACACUGGUAAAGUAGCUUCUAUAUAUGAUGAAAUUCACCAGGAGGACUCUUUGAACCUGCAAUUUUCUUGCUCCAAAGGUGUUUAUAAUCACCUUAUCCUUUGAAUGUCUUCCAAUCUGUAGCAAUACCCGUUUUCCCCUGAUCUUGAUAGCUGGAAAUUUCACUUUUCAUUUCAUGAUUAAUCUUAGUAGACAUUUAUCAAUUGUAUUAGUCUUCUACAAAUCCCACUUUAGCUUUGUUAAUAUACUGUGCUGUAUAUUUUCUAUGUCCAUUCCUAUAUUUGUUAUCUAUUUCUAUUUUGGAUUGAACUUGCUUUCAUUUCUCUGUUUUUAGGAUGGAAAGUUAAGUCACUGUUUUUAGAUCUUUCCGAUUUUUUAAAUAUAAACACUUGAAGAUGCAACAUUCCUUUAUGCACUAGUUUCACCAUAUUUUGUAAAUUUUGAUUUGCUCUGUUUCAGUUAUUAUUCAGUUCAAAUUAUUUCUAAUUUUUUGUUGUUCCUUCAUUG